ensembl:lncRNA
CGCCAAGGGGGCGUGACAAGCCCGGGAUUGGGCGGUGGCCUUCAAGGGCGGAGCGUUGGGGAUCCUGCGGCCUGGAUUCGAGUCCUGGGCUGGGGUCUCCUAGCGCAAGGGUGUUGGGGUUGACUGAGACCCCCGGACCUCCCCCGAGGAGGGUUUGACCCCGGCUCCCCGCGAGCCAUCCCGGGUCCUCCCAGGUGCUAAUCCCAGGCCUGCAGUGACCUGUUUCAAGAGGUAACAGGUGACCCCUGUGACAACCAGAAAUGCAGUGAAGACUGGCGACAGCUUACACACAACGAGGCCCACAGAAGUGUGGAUGAACAAUUCUGAAGCUACUUCUUGUAAUUCCAGGAUCGAGCAAAUAAAUAAAAAUACUGACGAAAUGGAAGCCACGUUCUUCACAGUUGGAGCAUGUAGUUACAAAUGCUGAGAGGGGAAAGGAGAGAAUGGCCCCUGUAGCUCAGAUUGGAACUGGAGAUGCCCCUGUUAACUCGUGGAUGUGUAUAUCUCGUCCAUUUCCCAGCUCUAUCCUCCAAAAAGGCCUAGAAGUAAUGAUGCACAGUGACUAUAAGUACACCCAGUACCCAUGGUGUACUUGGUUUCUCCACACAUUUCCCCCAGAUCCUUUUUUUUAAAAACUACUAAGGGUAAACUAGAAAUUUUUACAGCAGAGAAACCUGGUUGACCUCUUCUUUACCAAAGUCAGGUUGGUAGUAAUGGCACCAGUGGGCAGCAUCUCUCUCUUCACGCUAUGCACCGAGGACAGAGCAUCACCUCCACAGUCCUCCUGCCUAAAGUAUAUAACCUGAAUCUAAACAGGACGAAACAUCAGACAAACCCAAAUGGAGAGACACUCCGCAAAAUCAAUGGCCUGUAGUCUUCAAAAAUGGCAAUGUCACGAAUUACAAAGAAUUAGGAACUGUUCCAGGUUAAGGGUCUAAAAACGACAUGAUAACAAUGCAAGGCACACAUGGUUUUGAAUCUUCUUUUGCUACAAAGGAUACUACCGGAAAACUGACACCUCAACAAGGUCCGUAGAUCAUAGUAUUGUGCCAACGUUCCUUUCCCGAGUUUGAAGGCUGCCCUGGGGCUAUGUAAGGGAAUUCACUGUUGUCCCCAGAGGAUGAGGCGGCCACCACCUACCCCACGGGGUGCGCGAGCAUGCACCUACAGAAUUUAGCACAAAAUAUUCCGGAGACCUAGGGAAGGGUAUCAGUGGGAAGUCGGUGACAGGAAAGGGUCUCAGUGGUGGCGGGGGGCUUUAAGAAACCACCACGCCACACUCUCAACCUCAGAAAUACCAGCUCAGGCCCAGAAAGACCAAGGCUGAGUGUCUCCAGAGGGGCUUCUAGCAAAGUCCAAAGGCAGGACCAGCCCCGAGGCGGCUUCACCCUCCAGGCGGGCAGGGGAAGGACAAAAUGCAGCCACAUCAAACACAGCCCCUCAGCCUCAGGCCACCACGCCUGUCACGUGUCACCUGGCGGCCGGCAGGGGGUCAUCAGGCCAAGCCUUGGGCUCAAAAACACGGACUUAGAAACGGGACAUUCUCAGGGGGGUGAGAAAUUCAAGGGUGUGUGGAACGUUUCCCUCUUGCCACGUGUAACGCAUCCCAGGUUCUGCAGGAGGAAUCGCGUUGCCGCCGGGCCGCCUUACCCAGGGGUCAUAGGAAAUGACCCCCCAGGGCAGCUGCCCGGGCUGCACUGUCCGCAGCAGGAGGAAGCUGCAAACUCCACACAGCCUGGCUGGGCCUUUGCCCCAGGCCCUGGGCCUGAAGCGGGUCUGGGUUCCGAGGGUGCCCGGUGGCUGGGGUCUCAGGGGGCU